AACGAACGCUGGCGGCAGGCUUAACACAUGCAAGUCGAACGCGUGUAGCAAUAUACGAGUGGCGCACGGGUGAGUAACGCGUGGAUAUCUGCCUUUUGGUUCGGAAUAACCCCGGGAAACUGGGGCUAAUACCGAAUGGUUCCUUCGGGAUAAAGAUUUAUCGCCAAAAGAUGAGUCCGCGUCCGAUUAGCUAGUUGGUGAGGUAAUGGCUCACCAAGGCUACGAUCGGUAGCUGGCUGAGAGGACGAUCAGCCACACUGGGACUGAGACACGGCCCAGACUCCUACGGGAGGCAGCAGUGGGGAAUAUUGGACAAUGGGGGCAACCCUGAUCCAGCCAUGCCGCGUGAGUGAUGAAGGCC
rnacentral:rRNA from 1 species